rnacentral:misc_RNA from 1 species
GAAGUAAAAGUCGUAACAAGGUUUCCGUAGGUGAACCUGCGGAAGGAUCAUUAGUGAACGCCCUCACGGGCUUAUAACUAUUCCAAACCUCUGUGAACCGUGCCCUUCGGGGCUAUUUUACAAACAUGGUGUAAUGAACGUCAUAUAUCAUAACAAAACAAAACUUUCAACAACGGAUCUCUUGGCUCUCGCAUCGAUGAAGAACGCAGCGAAAUGCGAUAAGUAAUGUGAAUUGCAGAAUUCAGUGAAUCAUCGAAUCUUUGAACGCACCUUGCGCCCUCUGGUAUUCCGGAGGGCAUGCCUGUUUGAGUGUCAUGUAGACUCAAUCCCUCGGGUUUCCGAGGAGAUUGGACUUGGGUGUUGCCGCUCUGCCGGCUCGCCUUAAAAGACUUAGCGGGAUAGCACCGUAGUCGGCGUAAUAAGUUUCGUCGGUGAAGGUUGCGAUGACUGCUUACAAUCGCCCUCGGGCAAUUUUUGACUCUGACCUCAAAUCAGGUAGGACUACCCGCUGAACUUAAGCAUAUCAAUAAGCGGAGGAAAAGAAACUAACAAGGAUUCCCUUAGUAGCGGCGAGCGAAGCGGGAAGAGCUCAAAUUUGAAAGCUGGCGUCCUUCGGGCGUCCGCAUUGUAAUCUAUAGAGGCGUUUUCUGUGCUGGACCGUGUCCAAGUCCCUUGGAACAGGGUAUCA